rnacentral:rRNA from 1 species
AGGUGAACCUGCGGAGGGAUCAUUACCGAGUUUACAACUCCCAAACCCCUGUGAACAUACCAAUUGUUGCCUCGGCGGAUCAGCCCGCUCCCGGUAAAACGGGACGGCCCGCCAGAGGACCCCUAAACUCUGUUUCUAUAUGUAACUUCUGAGUAAAACCAUAAAUAAAUCAAAACUUUCAACAACGGAUCUCUUGGUUCUGGCAUCGAUGAAGAACGCAGCAAAAUGCGAUAAGUAAUGUGAAUUGCAGAAUUCAGUGAAUCAUCGAAUCUUUGAACGCACAUUGCGCCCGCCAGUAUUCUGGCGGGCAUGCCUGUUCGAGCGUCAUUUCAACCCUCAAGCCCCCGGGUUUGGUGUUGGGGAUCGGCGAGCCCUUGCGGCAAGCCGGCCCCGAAAUCUAGUGGCGGUCUCGCUGCAGCUUCCAUUGCGUAGUAGUAAAACCCUCGCAACUGGUACGCGGCGCGGCCAAGCCGUUAAACCCCCAACUUCUGAAUGUUGACCUCGGAUCAGGUAGGAAUACCCGCUGAACUUAAGCAUAUCAAUAAGCGGAGGAA